AUGGAAGCCGAGGACGGUGUUUUAUUCAUCAUCAAUGGAAGGGAGCAACCCAGACAACCGUCACCAGCCGCAGUAGUUCAUUCUGGGGUGUGCACCCGCCUGGGACCCGAGGACGUUUCCACAAGAGACCAGCAUUGGAAUCUGUGGCCUGAAGAAAGGCACGCACCUCCCACUAAACCUCCUUCCCCUCUCUCAUUGUUGCUGCACGAAAGACCUGCCUCCUCUCUGGAUCCGUUGGUUAAGCAGAGGCACCUGCACAUAGGAAGUGGCUGGGAUGAAGGCCUGGCCCUGGACUCUUCCUCUGCUCUCCCAGAAUUUGCACUUAACUGGUACCCACAAAUUACUCACCCUGGUUAGGACGCUCCAAUUUGGGCAUUUUUUCUUUUCUUGAAAGGCAGGAAGACACAGAGAGAGAGAGAGAUCUUCCACCUGCUGGAUUACUCCUCAAAUGCCUGCAGCAGCCAGGGCUGGACCAGGUCAAAGUCAGGAGCCUGGAACUCAAUCCAGGUCUCUCCCAUGGAUGACAGGGCCUCAAGUUCUUGAGCCAUCACCUGCCGCUCCUCCUCCCCCGCCUCCCCCGCCAGAAAGCACGUUAGCAGGAAACUGGAUUGGAAGUGGAGGAACCAGGACUCGAACCAGGCACUCCGAUGUAGGAUGUGGGCAUCCCAAGUGGUGACUUAAGAUACUGUGCCAAACACUUGUCCUGAAUUUGGCCAAUUAGGAAUUUCAUGCAAUUCCAACAACAGCAAUGUGGUUCAGGAAAACAUGAAGAUACAUCGAGAUUUGGGGAGAAUUUUUGGUAAGGUGGAGGUAUCAUGAUUGCCCAGUUGCAGGAGAGUUUUGGCCUCAGGCAACAAGGGGACACUGGGCAGGCAGCCUGAAACCCUGGAGCCUACACAGUCUGUCUUCCAGAGCUGAACUGUGACCUGUCAUGGUCGAGGAGGCCAAGAAAGCAGGGAGGAGAAAACAAGACAGCUACUGUGGGCAUCAGGAGAACCCAGGCAAGCUGAGUGGCCAAGAGGAAGCCAAGCAUUCCAGUGGACAGACCAAGCGCAGCCUCUGACAGGAGAGCCAGCAGGCAGGGAUGGACAGCACCCUGGCCACCACCCCCACGCCUUUGGCCCUGCUCUCUGGACAGCUGCAUGCCUGGAGUCCACCUCCAGGUCCCCAAAUCAAACCUGGCAGAUGACAGGUAAACUAGCUCAGAGUCAAUUCAACAAGGACAGUGCGUGUCCACUUUCUCCAUAAGGAAUCAAUGUUCACCUCUCCCAGCACGCAUCGCUUCCUAACACUGAGGCAUCCUGAUAUGGAGUAAACAAGGAAGCUGAGAAUCAGCAUCUAUGUUUUAGAUCGGAGA
rnacentral:lncRNA from 1 species